CAAAUCUGAAUGGCCCAAUUACAACACCCAAAGCCCAACAAAUACAAGCCCAACUACCAACCCACUAACCCAAUUAGCCAAAAUCAGAAACAAAACAGUAAACCUAACCCUAUGUGCGCCGCACCUAGGGUCUGCCACUUGACCUGCCGCCACCACCGCACGUCCCAUCGGCGCCUGCACCGUUCAGCCACCUGCUCCACCUGCAAAAGAAAAGAAACAUGCAACAAUCAAGACAAAAUAAUAAAAAAAUGCAAAUGAAAAAUAGGAAGGGAGAAUCGGCUAUAUAAGCCGAAUAUGAACUGUAAC
rnacentral:lncRNA from 1 species